rnacentral:lncRNA from 10 species
ACCAUACUGUGAAAUGUGGAAUGAUUUUUUUGUAAUUCUAGGUAAAUGUUCAAAAAAUGGCAGAAGGAGAAGCCUCUGACACAAAAAUUCUCGGAGCAGUCACAAAACUUGUACUUCAAGUCAUUUCACUCUGGAGUGAAUUCAGACAGCAAAACAUUUCAGGUAUAAGGUUCCUCUGCAGCCAGACUUUUUUAUCUUUUAAAAAAGAAUGCCGGGCGCAGAGGCCUGACGAGUCCACGGGUGGAAGAUGUGCGCGCGCGGGUUGGCCGACAGUCCCUACGGUGGCUCGGCAGGUCCUCUUAGGUUCAGUUCUUUGCUAGGACUGGGUCGAGUGAUCUGAACUCGGGACAAGAGUCGGUCCGCCAAGUCCUCUGAAAUUCCUAACCCAGGAAAGAACUCUCUGCGGGAGUACUGGUGUCAAGUCAGAGACGUUAAGGUGUCGAAUAUCACAAAACAUUUAAUACCACCAAGAACUCUUCUUAGUCUUUUUCCUGUUUUACUACUCUUGUUUACUAUUUGAUUAAACGUGCGUGCAUGUCUUACCUUCCUCGGAAUGGCAUUCGAAAUAGAUCUGUGUUUUGUUUGCCUCAAGCACAAAGUUAGGCACUGCACAGUGACGGAGUUCAGUAAAUAUUUGAUGCAUGAAUCAGUGAAGACCUGUCAAAAAAGGGCACGGGAGGCUAUCAGGGACUUAUCACAACCUUCCCGCGACCCAACCCCUUUAGCCUCCAACUGUCAAUUAUCUGUGCUCCAAAGGGCAUGGAGAUACACAGAAAAAUUUCUCCCAUUGUAGUCUUCGUAGUAACUGCUCGUUUUUAACAAAGUACCCCGUAGGCUAUGAACCCUGGUGGGAAGACCAGUCUCUCUGAGCAGACUGUAAAACUUCUGGGGAGCAAGGACUGUGUUUGGUUCACUCUUGUAUCUCCAGCUCCUCCAGUGACUUCGUACAUAGUAGGGGCUCCAUAAUUAUCUGUGGAAUGAAUAAAUAAAGAGGAAUGGUAAAACAUUCGGGGUAAGAGUCGGUCAGAUAGAUCCUCUCAAACUCAUGGCCCAUGAAAUAACUCCAUUAAAACAGGUUUUGUGGCCGGGCGCGGUGGCUCACGCCUGUAAUCCCAGCACUCUGGGAGGCCGAGGCGGGUGGAUCACGAGGCCAGGAGAUCGAGACCAUCCUGGCUAACACGGUGAAACCCCGUCUCUACUAAAAAUACAAAAAAUUAGCCGGGCGUGGUGGCGGGCGCCUGUAGUCCCAGGCUACUCGGGAGCCUGGGGCAGGAGAAUGGCAUGAACCUGGGAGGCGGAGCUUGCAGUGAGCGGAGAUCGCGCCACUGCACUCUAGCCUGGACGACAGAGCGAAACUGUCUCAAAACAAAACAAAACAAACAAACAAAAAAAACAGGUUUUGUAACCCCCAGAAUGACCUGGUUAUCCUCUUUCCAGAUGUCUUGUGGGUCCUCAUAAAGUAACCUAGGACCCGAACAUCCAUAGAAUAUCCCCAUGCAGGCCGGGCGCCGUGGCUCACGCCUGAAAUUCCAGCACUUUGGGAGGCCGAGGUAGGUGGAUCAUCUGAGCUCAGGAGUACGAGACAAGCCUGGCCAACAUAGUGAAACCGCGUCUCUACUAAAAAUACAAAAAAUUAGCUGGGCGUGGUGGCGGGUGCCUGUAAUCCCUGCUACUCGGGAGGCUGAGGCAGGAGAAUCGCUUGAACCCAGGAGGCAGAGGUUGCAGUGAGCCAAGAUCGCGCCAUUGCACUCCAGCCUGGGCAACGAGAGCGAAACUCAGUCUCAAAAAAAAAAAAAAAAAGGCCGGGCGCAGUGGCUCACGCCUGUAAGCCCAGCACUUUGGGAGGCCGAGGCGGGCGGAUCACCUGAGGUCGGGAGUUCAAGACCAGCCUGACCAACAUGGAGAAACGCCGUCUCUACUAAAAAUACAAAAUUACCCAGGCGUAGUGGAGCAUUCCUGUAAUCCCAGCUACUCGCUACGCCGGAGGCUGAGGCAGG